GCCACCAAAGUGGGGAAGCUAUCUAAAGUUGCAACCUCCUACCAUUUUUUCACCUUAAUCUUCCCUACCCAAUCAUGAAAAGAGGAAGGCUGCCCUAAUAAAAGUAACCCUUAAACAAAUAGGGAAAAGAAAUGCUCAGGAUCAGGCUUGUGUGCUAUACCUUCCCCCCACCAAUGAGAAGAAAUAGGGGUGAAAAAUGUGCAUCACACAUGGAUGAUUUGCACUGGAUUAUCUAAGGUGACCACACAGAUCUUCCCAUGGAUCUCAAAUCAAUCCACCGAUGAUGAGCUUCGGAUUUUGUGCUCCCAUAGCAUCCUAUCCCAUCUUAGCUGAUUCAGCCAAUCCAACCAUCUGGUGCAAGGCACUGGGCAUGGAUGCAGCACACAUGACAGCAAAGAAUUGGCAUGUCACGGCAUUGGCCACAUUGUAUUUAAAGUAGCGUCACAUCAAGCAUCAAGGGAAGAAUCACGAGAUCCUUAUCUAUGGGAGAAGAACAACACAAUCUAGAGAGAGAAGAACACCCGUCAUCUCCUCUAGAGUUCUACACUCAUCUACAAUGGAAGAACAAAAUGAUCUGGGGAGAGAAAAUAUGGCACAUUCUUCAACCGACACUCAUCACCUCUUGAGGAGUUAUGUAUUCCACCUUAAUAUAUUUGUAUUGAUUAUUCGUCAGACAUAAGUUUCCUUUACGGGGUUUGUGGUUGGCACGUCAGCAAGUACGGUAUCCUUGAACCAAUCAUCGGAAUCUUUCAAAGACAUGGAGGAAAGGUGGGAGGCUGGUGCAAAUUUGGAAGUUUGGCGUGGAGUCCAACCAUCUUGGGGGAUAUUUUAGCGAUGUUAGCUGAAAAUAUGAGGAUGAUGUCGGACGGGUAGAGUGAAACGAUAGAGUUGUUUUUUUUUAUUACUGUUAUUCUUUUACUUUAUGCCGAUGGGGCGACAGAUACAGUGAUGUGGAGAUGAACAAUAAACAUAUUUAUGAUCCAA